GGGAAAGCGAUUUUAUGCAAUUAUAGUUGAUUUUUUUUUUUAGUCCAGCUCGAAAAAGCUAGCACAACCCAGCUAGUUUGGGCACAUAAUUUUCAGCAGGGGCGGAUACAAGUUGGGUUCAAGUAGGUUCAUUGAACUCACUGAAUUUUUGAAAAAUUAAAAGUUUAUUAUUUUUUUACAAAAAAAAAAUAAAAAAGCGUUAAAUAGAAUAUCUUCACACCAAAUAGCAACAAGAUAAUGUGCAGCCUAGUGGUAAUUUUUGGAGCCCACGUCUUUCCUACCCUUACAAGGGAGUCAAGGGUUCGAAUCCUCCCACAACCCUUUUUUUUUAAUUUUUAUAUUUUAUAAAACAAAAUUGAGACUUCACUUGUUGCUUCAGUAAUUCCCCAAAAUUAUUUCCCCAAAAUUCGAAACCCUAAGUUCCUAACUCUCUCUAACUCUCUUGUAACUCAAUUGCUCCACCCAACCACCCCACUAGGCCACUAGCCACCGCGACAGGCCAUCACCACUCACGGCUGCUCGUUUGCUGACCGAUCCUCCACGGCUCUACCAUUUGCCCAACAACCUAGCGAGUAAGACGUAAGUUUGCAAAUGAGUUUAGAGUCUUUUGGAAACGUGUGGGGAAGUCACAAAAAUCCUCUGCUUGUUCUUCCCCUAGUUCAAGGGAUCUUGUAGAAUAAGAUAUUGAGUCUCCAAAUGAUGAUGCAAUUUAGUCACUUUUCUUGAGAGAGAUUUAUGCUAGAUUUAGUGAUGAUGACGUUUUACGCUUCCAAAGUAUAAAAUCUCGAAGAAUGAUUUUGUAAGUUUUUUUUUAAUUUUUUUUUUUUUACCAUUUUCUAAGUGUAAUCCGUUUGUAAUCCAAAAUUUGAACUUAAUGUAUUGAAUAUUUAAUUAAUGUAUUAGCAUUCCUUUUUUUUCAAAUUCUGAACCCAUUGUUCGGAAAUCCUGGAUACGCCACUGAUUUUCAGGCUCGACCCGAAAAGUUCGCUGAUUUAUUUGAAUUCGGGCUGGCCCACCCAAUGAUCACCUCUAAAAAGAAGGUUUAUGAUAAGAGGGAAAUAUCUGGUUGUAUACCACUAAGUUGAUAAAUUCUUAUGUCACUUUGUGUUGUGUA